UACGUAGGGUGCAAGCGUUAAUCGGAAUUACUGGGCGUAAAGCGUGCGCAGGCGGUUUUGUAAGUCUGUCGUGAAAUCCCCGGGCUCAACCUGGGAAUUGCGAUGGAGACUGCAAGGCUAGAAUCUGGCAGAGGGGGGGUAGAAUUCCACGUGUAGCAGUGAAAUGCGUAGAGAUGUGGAGGAACACCGAUGGCGAAGGCAGCCCCCCUGGGUCAAAAACUGACGCUCAUGCACGAAAGCGUGGGGAGCAAACAGG
rnacentral:rRNA from 1 species